UUCGCACUACAGGAAAAGAGACAAAGAGUUGGUUGUACGAGGGAUCGGGGAAAGAGCCCACCCAAGUCAUCGGGAGCAGAAGAAGUGGGAGCAGGAAGAAGAAAAGUGAACAACAACGAUCAUUUAGAGUUCUUCUGUGUCUCUCACACACAAAGGAGUUCGCAAUGCAACAGCUGAAGAGUCCCACCGGGGAAAUGGCGGCACGGAAGAGGCAAGCACCUCCCACUUCUAAUCAGCAUGUCACAAACGCAGCUGAUGAGAGGGGCGUGGCGCUUCAUGACUAGCUCCAGCACCUGGGAGGCUGAGGCAGGACUGCUAUCAAGAUGUGUACUGUCAGCUGCUCCAGCAAACACGGCUGCUGCUUCCUGCCACAUGCCUGGGCAUGACAGACCCUUAGCCCACUGAAACCAUAAAUCAAAUUAAAUGUUUUCUUUUAUAA